GACGAACGCUGGCGGCGUGCUUAACACAUGCAAGUCGAACGGAAAGGCCCUGCUUUUGUGGGGUGCUCGAGUGGCGAACGGGUGAGUAACACGUGAGUAACCUGCCCUUGACUUUGGGAUAACUUCAGGGAACUGGGGCUAAUACCGGAUAGGAGCUCCUGCUGCAUGGUGGGGGUUGGAAAGUUUCGGCGGUUGGGGAUGGACUCGCGGCUUAUCAGCUUGUUGGUGGGGUAGUGGCUUACCCAGGCUUUGACGGGUAGCCGGCCUGAGAGGGUGACCGGCCACAUUGGGACUGAGAUACGGCCCAGACUCCUACGGGAGGCAGCAGUGGGGAAUAGUGCACAAUGGGCGGAAGCCUGAUGCAGCAACGCCGCGUGCGGGAUGACGGCCUUCGGGUUGUAAACCGCUUUCGCCUGUGACGAAGCGUGAGUGACGGUAAUGGGUAAAGAAGCACCGGCUAACUACGUG
rnacentral:rRNA from 1 species